UUCCCAAGCUGCUACUCUCCAGCCCGGU
rnacentral:piRNA from 1 species